UUUAAAUAGAGAAGAGAUAAGAAAAAUCUGUGUUGGAAACCAAUGGUACACACACUGCUUCAGGACUAUGACUGGAGCUUCUCUUCACUGCAAUAUAGAACAGCAUCAAAGGCAAAUAAGACCAAUAGAAUCACAUUGCUAAUACUGCCCUCAUUUCGUUGUGUGCACACCAUCAAACAGGCAGAUGAAGAGGAUCCUUGUCUUGGUAAGGGAAGAAGUCACCACACAUCCCAGCUGGAGGAGGGAACAUGACUGGCUCACUUCAGCACCCUCACCAUUGUUCCAGAUAUCCAAGGCCCUCCUUGGACCUCAACAAGACUUAAGCCGCUGCAGAGACGGUGUAAAUGUGGAGUGGCUGGUUGGGGACAGAGUGAAACUCCUGGAAUCAGAUGGUGAUCUGCUGAUAAGCUGGGUCUGUGCCAGCCAGCAGAGUCCAUGCGUGCAAGAGCCUGGAGUCUCCCCCUGUGAAGGCUUGGGGCUGGUUGGGCAGUAAGCCUCACAGUAAUCCUUAGUCCUGUUAGAUGGGAGUUCUAAAUUUAUUUUCAAAGAAUUAAUAUGUCAGUAUGUUCAAUUCUUUGCCUUCUACUUUUAAACUUAACUUCCUCA